rnacentral:rRNA from 1 species
CUCAACAUGAGAGUUUGAUCCUGGCUCAGAACGAACGCUGGCG